rnacentral:lncRNA from 1 species
UGAUGCACAGCUUCCGCUAUUUAUAGCACUGGACCCCGACUCUGAGAUAGAAUCCCAUUCGGACUAGGUUUUCCCUCUCCGGAUCAAUAUCACCUCGACCAGUCCUGUUUUCAUUAGGAUUGUGAACCUAGUCCUUAUUCGAGCCCUAUCCGCUUCUAGGUUGUUAAUCCUGCCGAGAAUCCCUAUUGUAUCAGGACUCGGCUUGUCAUUGCAUUUUGACCUAACUGGCCUAGGUUUGGAAGCCCAUAAGCUGAACGAUCCAUGGUCUUCUUGUCGCAAGGCCUUCCGGGCCGAGAAUGGCUCUACACUCGGCCCAAACUAUUAUUUUGGGCCCAAACAUUGCCCCCUCGCUUCUGAGGUCCUCGGCCUGCAAUCUUCGGCCGAGUUCCGGCCUUGAAGAAGCGAAUCUACCACUCAGAAUCCUCAUACCCGAGUUCC